rnacentral:lncRNA from 1 species
GAGAAUUUGCCUUCAAAACGCCUAAAUUUUAUCAGGUUAAAUUAUUUUAAAAAAAAAUCAAAUCUCUUCAACUUGCGAACAUAACAAACAAUUUAUCUACCAUCAAAACAGUUACAUAUUAUACAAAUGUAAUUGGAUGGAGGAUCUAGAAAGAACUGAACCCUAGUUCGUUGAGACAGUUGAUACUUGAUGAGUUGAUGUUAUGAAAAACUUAAAAGGGCCUAAUGUUGAUAAAACCUAGCUACCGUAAAACGCUUCGAAGCCCAAAUGUUUUAAAAUCAAGUUUUCUUAUCCCGAUUCAAG